UCCGUUAUCGUCCAGCGGUUAGGAUAUCUGGCUUUCACCCAGGAGACCCGGGUUCGAUUCCCGAUAACGAAA
rnacentral:tRNA from 1 species